ACCAAAUUCUCAACGAUGGAUAUCUUGGUUCCCAUAACGAUGAARAACGCAGCGAAGUGCGAUAAGCAAUGCGAAUUGCAGAACCGUGAGUCAUCAGAUUUUUGAACGCAACUGGCGCUAGUUGGCUAUCCAAUUAGCAUGCUUGUUUCAGUG
rnacentral:rRNA from 1 species